rnacentral:rRNA from 1 species
GCUGAACGCUAGCUGCAGGCUUACCACAUGCAAGUCGAGGGACCGGCGCACGGGAGAGUAACAAGUAUCCAACCUACCCUUUACUCGUGGAUAGCCUUUCGAAAGAAAGAUUAAUAACCGAUAUAAAGGAUGGGGAUGCGUUCACUUAUGUGGUGGGUGAGGUAACGGCCCACCAAGCCUUCUAUGGAUAGUGGUUAGGAGAGGAAGGGCCACCACAUGUGAACUGAGACACGGGCCAAACGCCUACGGGAGGCAGCAGUGAGGAACAGUUGUCAAUGGGCGUUAGCCUGAACCAGCCAAGUAGCGUGAAGGAUGAAGUCUGAUGGUUCGUAAACUUCUUUUAUAUAAGAAUAUGUAUUAGAUGAAUAAGGAUCGGCUAACUCCGUGCCAGCCGCCGCGGUAAUAC